rnacentral:piRNA from 1 species
UGUUAAAAAUGACGAGGAAUA